UACGUAGGGUGCGAGCGUUGUCCGGAAUUACUGGGCGUAAAGAGCUCGUAGGUGGUUUGUCGCGUUGUUCGUGAAAACUCACAGCUUAACUGUGGGCGUGCGGGCGAUACGGGCAGACUGGAGUACUGCAGGGGAGACUGGAAUUCCUGGUGUGGCGGUGGAAUGCGCAGAUAUCAGGAGGAACACCGGUGGCGAAGGCGGGUCUCUGGGCAGUAACUGACGCUGAGGAGCGAAAGCGUGGGGAGCGAACAGG
rnacentral:rRNA from 1 species